UACGUAGGGGGCAAGCGUUGUCCGGAAUUAUUGGGCGUAAAGGGCGCGUAGGCGGCGCGAUAAGUCAAAGGUGAAAUCCCUCGGCUCAACUGAGGAACUGCCUUUGAGACUGUCGAGCUUGAGGCCGGGAGGGGGUAGCGGAAUUCCCAGUGUAGCGGUGAAAUGCGUAGAUAUUGGGAGGAACACCAGUGGCGAAGGCGGCUACCUGGGCCGGUUCUGACGCUGAUGCGCGAAAGCGUGGGUAGCAAACAGG
rnacentral:rRNA from 1 species